CCUACGGGAGGCAGCAGUAGGGAAUCUUCGGCAAUGGACGAAAGUCUGACCGAGCAACGCCGCGUGAGUGAAGAAGGUUUUCGGAUCGUAAAACUCUGUUGUUAGAGAAGAAUGUUGAUUAGAGUGGAAAAUUAAUCAAGUGACGGUAUCUAACCAGAAAGGGACGGCUAACUACGUGCCAGCAGCCGCGGUAAUACGUAGGUCCCGAGCGUUGUCCGGAUUUAUUGGGCGUAAAGCGAGCGCAGGUGGUUUAAUAAGUCUGAUGUAAAAGGCAGUGGCUCAACCAUUGUGUGCAUUGGAAACUGUUAGACUUGAGUGCAGUAGAGGAGAGUGGAAUUCCAUGUGUAGCGGUGAAAUGCGUAGAUAUAUGGAGGAACACCGGUGGCGAAAGCGGCUCUCUGGACUGUCACUGACACUGAGGCUCGAAAGCGUGGGUAGCAAACAGGAUUAGAUACCCUGGUAGUC
rnacentral:rRNA from 1 species